CCACACACGAUCCAAGAUCGACACUUUAUUGUGAACUGUUAAUGUUAUUUGGUAAAUUUUGAUGCUGGGAAAAUCAUUUUCCAGUUGAUGAUUUGCUAAUUUUUUAUUACACCUUGAAAUUACAAAAAAGAUUUAUCAAAGGAACAUAAAUGUUAUACUCAAGUUCGUCUUGAUAUAACGCUAGAUUGAAAAUUGUAAAA
rnacentral:misc_RNA from 1 species